AGCAGAGCCAGAGGAUAAAAACGGCAGCCGUCGCCCUCUGGGCCGUUACCGCCCAUGCCAGCCGGUGCAGAGAAAUUCCAGCAUAUCUGCAGAUUCCUGCCAUUCUGUUCAGAGGCCAGGGAGGCCUCUGUGCGUUGCUGACUCAGCCAAACGGGGCCACUCCAAGAUCCCUCUCUGUGGCGGACACUGGGCUGGGCGCUGGCAAGACAGACCUAAAAGUGACAGAGUUGAGGAGUUCCUGUUGUGGUGCAGUGGAAAUGAACCCGACUAGUAUCCAUGAGGACGCAGGUUCGAUCCCUGUUCUCGCUCAGUGGGUCGGGCAGAACAAUUCAACCUUUCCAGGCCCAGUCCCAAAUCCUGCCCAACUUUGCACAGUCCAGCCUGGGAAGGCACAGACACAGAAAGGACCCGUCUUUGAACAGAACUGGCCUUCCUUCCAGGGCAGCCAGCUGACAUUGACCAUGGGCUCCCUCACAGAUCAAAGUGCUAUUUUCAGAACAACGGGGAAAGAAUGCCAAAUACACCCCUCCCAAAAAAAAAACCAUGGAAUUAAGGGAAUUUCUGUUUUACAAGCCACCCGAGCCCUGACUCUGGCUCCAACAUGUCCUUCCAUGGCGACAUCUGAGUUUUGUCAAGACCCUACUACAUGGAAUCGUAGGAGGUGGGGGAGUUCCAGGGGGAGAAGCAGGUAAGUAAGGAGGGCAUCGUGGAAGAGGUGGCCCUGCUCAGAGGACGGACAGCAAGAACCCCUCAAGGCUGUAAUUAAGAAGACACAUAAUUGCAAGUGUUGGCAAGGAUCUGGAGAACUUGGCGCCCUCAUACCCUGCUGGUGGGAAUAUAAAAUGGCACAGAAAACAGUCUGGCACAUCCUCAAAAAGUUAAGGAGUUCCCGUCAUGGCGUAGGGGUUAACAAAUCCGACUAGGAACCACGAGGUUGCGGGUUCAAUCCCUGGCCUCGCUCAGCGGGUUAAGGAUCCAGCGUUGCUGUGAGCUGUGGUGUGGGUCGCAGACGUGGCUCGGAUCCCCUGUUGCUGUGGCUCUGGCGUAGGCCGGUGGCUACAGCUCCGAUGAGAACCCUAGCCUGGGAACCUCCAUAUGCCAUGGGUGCGGCCCUAGAAAAGG
ensembl:lncRNA